GUCUUACUCAUUUCCUUGAAAAUUUCCUCAGACUUGCGGACCGAAGUAUGGCGCCUUGGCGGUUCACAAGUGAUUUUGUCUGGAAGUCGAUUACUGAGAAUUCGGGCCUUUCCAGCCACAGGGAUCCGAGGAACCACUUUUUCUCCGUUAGGAGAGCCCCUGUUAGAGCCAGUCUCCCAAUCGCUGCUCCUUGUUCCCAAGAUGGCGCUACAGAACAGAGGAGUUGGAAUUCAGCAGCUACAUUUUGCCUCUCAACACACAUGAAGACAGUGCUUGCUAUGCAGAUGGGUCUCCUACCUGUAAACGAAAAGGGGCGACUUUGUAUGGAGACAAGCUCAGGGGAGCUACUUGGCAGGCCUGGUAAGCUCAGUGAUGGAAAGUAACCACACUGAUGGUCUGAUCAUAAAUUCCUAAUUGGGCAGGUCAUGGUGGGUAGUUUGUUCCAGGCCUAUAGUUUUCUUAGCGAAGGUCAAGCUUUACCUUAACUGAGACUUGUCCAUUGUUCUUAUGCAUUUAGGUUAACAUACUUUGGGGAAAGUUAGGGUAAUUUUCUUUUUCAGACAUCCCCCUCCCCCACGCACAACCUCCAGCACAGAGCACUAGACUACGAAGCUCAUUGUUACCUUAUUGCCAACAUACCAUCUCCACUGUAAAUGUGUGGAUGGCCCUCAUUCAAUCAGUUGAAGACCUGAAUAGAACAGAAGGCUGACGUCCCCCAAGUAAAAGAGAAUUCCUCCUGCCUGACAGCCUUUGAACACUGGCUCUUUCUGGUUCUACAGCAGCUUCUGGCCUUCAGACUUGAACUGGGACAUCAGGUCUGCAGAUUUUUUACUUGCCAGCCUUCAUAAUCAUCUUCUCUACCAGUUCCUGCAUGCGCUGGUUGGUCUUGUGGUCCUCCUCUGUCUGGAAGAACAGCUCUUUGAGGCGGCGCUCAUUCUUCCGCAGCGUCUUGACCGUCUCCACGUGCCGUUUCUGCUCGCCGUCCAGCUCUGUCUCUAGUUCCUUGAUCUGAGGAAGGAAGAGAGGAAUACAACUGAGAGAAUGUAUGUUUUUGAACUUCAGAACUCAGUGGCCUUGGGUAUGGGUGUAAUGGCUACAGUGUCCACCUCCUACCCAAAGAUAUUCAUGGAGGGCCUACUGUGUGCUGAUUAUAGGUCUAUGCACCAAAUAAGGACACAGCACCAAAUAAGACCAACAAUGUUCCUGAGCUCCUGGCAUUUCAAUCAAGUGUGGGGAGCCUGACAAGAAAAUAUGCAUUUCCUUAGCCCUAAAGUGGGAUACAUAGUAUCCACCACUAAGGUCGGUCAGUGUGAGCACCCAAAGGAAUACUGGGGUGAAAACACUUGGUGGCACAUCUUGGCAACAUCCACCCCUGAGCCCUUGGGCACAGCAUCCGUCUUCCUUUCAGGAACCCUCUCCUCAAGGCUGGUUUGAUACUCCUCCUUGCCAAAAAGUCUGCUCAGAUGAACCCAAGUCGAUGGCACCUUUGCUAUAUGUUUCCAGGCCACAUGCUCUAAAUCUCUCACACGAUCGUCUGUAGCUUGUCGGUAUUCCUUACUUUCAUGUGUUUGGCUUUUCAGAAAAGUCUCUGGACUCCUUAGAGCGGGACCACAUCUCCACUGGUAGGGUCUCAUGACUCCAUAGUGACUCAUGAGGGGAGAGAAUGGCCUUUCCUGCCUAUGGUAGCCUGGUCCUCACAGGCAGCCUGGGCUAGGGUGCCCAGGCCUCCUCCCACCAGCAGCAGGCAGUGCACACACUUACAUCAGUCAUGGCUUUCUUGGCCCUUUCAUCAGCUGAGCGGAACUCACUGAUGAGCUCCUCGUGCUCGUUGGAGAUGCGCUGGACAUCUGACUCCAGUUUGCGUUUGACCACCAGGAGGCUUUGGUUCUGGAGGAGGAAAUGACAUCACUGUGAGCCGGGAGUCUGCACAGCCCUUCUGUGUCCAGGAAAGAAAACGAUCCUCUCCCAGACAUGCCUGCCCAACUCCCAACAGGAAAUGGCCCUAGCCCCUUGCUCAGGUACCUAAUACAGUGCCUGGGCAGAGCAGGUCUCCAAUAAACACAUGUAGAAUUCAUGAAUCCAUCUAUGCAUGCUAUAAAGACCAGCCCAAUGAUGAAGAAUAAUAAAGGAGGACUUCGAUUAUAUUUGUGUUUAUUUCUUAAGAUUGCUACCUUGAUUUGCUGCUGCAGCCUUUUCAGUGUCUUUACAAGUUCACUGUUGUUCUUGUUGGCAUGGUCCAGCUGGAUUUCCAUCUCAUUCAGGGGCCACUGUCUCUUGGACCUGGCAUUUGAUCCUCUGACCUUCUCUAAGUCGAUGGUGAGGUCCUCGACUUCUGCUUGGAGUCUCUGUUUAUUUUUCUCGAGGGAGGCAGCCCUGGCCUGGGCAGCUUCGGCUGCCUCUUCUGCUUCCUGGAGCCUGGCAGCCAGUUUCCUCCUGUGGAUAAGGGCCAGACAAGCCGAGUAUCUACUUCUCUAGUUGGUGAAUGAGGAAGAAAGCUCAAAGGAUAUGAAGACAUUUACUACAGAUCUGGAAAAAGGCAGAGUGGAGACCUUGGCUACCAAGUGUAGUCUGUGUCCAACCAACAUCACUGAGAGGCGUUACCCCAGACCCAGCAGGCCUUUGGAAGCUUCCUGAGCACUUCAGAGGCAGAGAAGCCCUGCCAGGAGGAGCCGCUGCCUCUGACUCCCCUGCCUGAGCACUUUAAGGCAGAGGAUAUAGGUAAGAGAGCCCUCGAAGGUGGAACCUGAAGGCUGACCAUGCAGGCAGUGGGCUCCUCUGACUGCACACUCAUCUUCCCUUUAAGAGAAGCCGAUGAACUGCCUUUUUCUGGAUGUGGCCCUGGCCUCAGCUGUGGCUGGCAGUGGUGAGACCCCCAGCGCCUACCCACCUGCUUGGCCUUUUUCUCUCUCCUGGCACAAGGUGAACUCACUUGGUCUCUUCUAGCUCCUCAGUCCUCUGGAUGGCAUCGGUCUCAUACUUGGUCCUCCAGGUGGUCACCUCGGUGUUUAGUUUGGACACAAGGCGCUGCAGCUCCGACUUGCCUCCCUGUUCCUCCUCCAGCUGCUCCUUCACCAGGUCCAGGUCAUGCUUGGUGUUGGCGAGACUCACCACGGCUGUGCUGCGAGACUGGGGACCACAUGAACCUGUCAGAGGCCCACCAGUCUCUCCAUGGCCCCCCAGGGCCAGCAGUUAGAUGUAUAUCAUGUUGGAUCAACAGUGUAGCAAGGGGAAAAACACACAUGAUUCUAUAACCCUAACCAUCACGGUUUAUUUUCCUUGUUUUCUUCCAAUUACUACCUACAAAGAUAUGUAAUUUUACUUAGUCAUACACAUAGAAUACUACAGUUUUGUAGUUAACUUUUAGUAGUGCAUCAAAUAUUUUUUAAAGGUUUUAAAAAUAAACUUAUUUAUUUAAAUUA